rnacentral:rRNA from 1 species
CCUGCCAGAGGUUACUGCUAUCGAGGUUCGACUAAGCCAUGCGAGUCGAAUGUAGCAAUACAUGGCGUACUGCUCAGUAACACGUGGACAACCUACCCCUCCGGACGGGUAUAAACCCGGGGAAACUGGGGUAUAAUCCCCGAUAGAUCUCGGUCGCUGGAAAGCCCCGAGAUCGAAAGCUCCGGCGCCAGAGGAUGGGUCUGCGGCCUAUCAGGUAGUAGUGGGUGUAGCGUACCUACUAGCCUACGACGGGUACGGGUUGUGAGAGCAAGAGCCCCGGAGAUGGAUUCUGAGACACGAAUCCAGGCCCUACGGGGUGCAGCAGGCGCGAAAACUUUACAAUGCCGGCAACGGCGAUAAGGGGACCUCGAGUGCCAGGUUACAAAUCUGGCUGUCGUGAUGCCUAAAAAGCAUUGCAUAGCAAGGGCCGGGCAAGACCGGUGCCAGCCGCCGCGGUAACACCGGCGGCUCGAGUGGUAACCGUUAUUACUUGGGUCUAAAGGGUCUGUAGCCGGCCGGAUAAGUCUCUUGAG